rnacentral:rRNA from 1 species
AGCAGUCGCCACGGUAAUACGUAGGGUGCAAGCGUUAAUCGGAAUUACUGGGCGUAAAGCGUGCGCAGGCGGUGUUGUAAAACUGAUGUGAAAUCCCCGGGCUCAACCUGGGAACUGCAUUGGUGACUGCAACGCUGGAGUGCGGCAGAGGGGGAUGGAAUUCCGCGUGUAGCAGUGAAAUGCGUAGAUAUGCGGAGGAACACCGAUGGCGAAGGCAAUCCCCUGGGCCUGCACUGACGCUUAUGCACGAAAGCGUGGGGAGCAAACAGGAUUAGAUACCCCGGUAGUCCCUGUCUCUUAUAC